rnacentral:rRNA from 1 species
GGAAUAUUGCGCAAUGGCCGCAAGGCUGACGCAGCGACGCCGCGUGGAGGAUGACGGCCUUCGGGUUGUAAACUCCUGUUGCCCGGGACGAACAAGCGGUUUCGACCGCUCUGACGGUACCGGGUGAGGAAGCACCGGCUAACUCCGUGCCAGCAGCCGCGGUAAUACGGAGGGUGCGAGCGUUGUCCGGAAUCACUGGGCGUAAAGGGCGCGUAGGCGGUGGGAUAAGCGUGUGGUGAAAGCCCGGGGCUCAACCCCGGGUCUGCCGUGCGAACUGUUUCACUUGAGCACUGUAGAGGCAGGUGGAAUUCCGGGUGUAGCGGUGGAAUGCGUAGAGAUCCGGAAGAACACCGGUGGCGAAGGCGGCCUGCUGGGCAGUGGCUGACGCUGAGGCGCGACAGCGUGGGGAGCAAACAG